rnacentral:rRNA from 1 species
CCUACGGGCGGCAGCAGUAGGGAAUCUUCGGCAAUGGACGAAAGUCUGACGGAGCGACGCCGCGUGAGCGAAGAAGGUCUUCGGAUCGUAAAGCUCUGUUGUUAGGGAAGAAGAAGUACCGUUCGAAUAGGGCAGUACGGUGACGGUACCUAACGAGAAAGCCCCGGCUAACUACGUGCCAGCAGCCGCGGUAAUACGUAGGGGGCGAGCGUUGUCCGGAAUUAUUGGGCGUAAAGCGCGCGCAGGCGGUCCCUUAAGUCUGAUGUGAAAGCCCACGGCUCAACCGUGGAGGGUCAUUGGAAACUGGGGGACUUGAGUGCAGAAGAGGAGAGCGGAAUUCCACGUGUAGCGGUGAAAUGCGUAGAGAUGUGGAGGAACACCAGUGGCGAAGGCGGCUCUCUGGUCUGUAACUGACGCUGAGGCGCGAAAGCGUGGGGAGCAAACAGGAUUAGAUACCCGGGUAGUC